UUUUGGGGGGAGUCUUUUGAAGGUGAAACUUUUCUUCUUUAGGAUUGGACAGUUGAAUUUAAAGGCAAGUUAAAACUCAGUGUUUUGAACCGUGUUUAAACGAAGAUGAAGGAGAAGACAAAACUGUUAAAAAGUUUUAUUACACAGCCAAACGAAGGCUGCAACUCUGUAUUCCAAAUGAUUAACCAAGAUUGUAUGCGUCAUAAUUCCUAUCUUCUGUGAACUUCCAUAAUUAUGAAAUGUUCUUUCAUUAUAUUGAACUACUUCUGAUUUCAUCACAAAAGCCAAAUCUGAAAUUCAAUUUACAGAAAUAUUUAAAAUGAAUAUCAAGUUAAAUGGGAAUAUUUGUAUACUAAUAGGAUAUAAUAUUGUUGCUUUAGACUUUUUCCAUAUUAAAGACUAAUAUGAAUUCUAAAUCUUUUAAUAAAUGAGACUGAAAUCCAA